rnacentral:hammerhead_ribozyme from 1 species
AUCCAGCUGACGAGUCCCCAAAAAUAGGACUAAACGCGUGUCGUGGAU